rnacentral:misc_RNA from 1 species
UCCUUGAGAAAACUUGGGGUUAAGGCAAGUAUUUCCAAAUCUCUACUUUUCUUUUAUACCAUAAGUAGAUAAGCAUUUAGGUGAGUCCAAAACAAGAAAAGGAGAAAGUGAAUUCCACUUAUAUAACCUUCAUUAUGUGUGUUUGCUAAUAUGGAGCAUAAUUGAAACUUCAUUAAGCAGUUAAAUUGAUUUUAUUAGUUGUUUGUUAGACUUGGGGAUGAAUGACUUAAAUAACUCUAAAAUGCCUUAUGCUUCUAACAGGUAUUUCUUUUAAGCCAAACCUAGUAUGCAUGAUGCAUACAAGGGUUACUCAAGAAAUAUAAAAAGAAAACUGAAAAACAAUGAAAUACAAAGAAAGAAAACAAACAUAUUGUUGAAGUUGAAGUUAAGAUUAUUCUAAAUUAGUGAAUUGGAGCAAAGAAUAAAUGGUCUUUGCAAGUUUGAAUAGGCUUGGCCACUGGUUCGGUUUGGCUUCGAGCAGGAACCAGCAGUUCUGGUUCAGGGAACAAAGGGGUUCUAGCCAGUUGCAAUUCUGGUUAUUGGAACUGGUGGGCUUGUUCGGUCCAAUUUCAGUUUAGUUCUAGUUUCAAACGAGCUGAAAAUGAUUUUUUAAAAAUUUUUUACAAAAAAUAAAAGUUUUCUUUUUGGACCAUAAAUACUGUGCAUUUUUUUUAUUGCAAAGAAAUGGAAAAAGUUACAUGUAUAUGUAAAUAUUGGAAAUAAAAAAUACAUAUAAUUUUUUUGCAGCUGGUUCCAUUAAAAGCUACUUUUUCCUUUUAAAUUUAGGCAAAUUACCUUAUAUUAAUUGGUUUUAUUUCCUUUUUUAUAUUACUUUCCGAUAUUUAUGUUAAUUGUAUUAAUUUUCUAUUUCUUUAGUUAUAUUAUAAAUAUAAGUAAUUAAUAUUGUUAGCCUCAUAAACUCCAAUGAGCUUGAUUUUGAUGAUCACAAAACCCAAUGAACUUAGUUUAACCCUUGUGCAUAGUGUUUAGUGACUCUUGUGUAGGGUGUGCCUUGAAAGAGUUUGAUGGAAGGGACUUAAAAUUGAAGUGGAAGCACCUAAAGUAGAAUAUCAUCUUGUAUAACACAAGAUG